rnacentral:rRNA from 1 species
AGAGUUUGAUCCUGGCUCAGGAUGAACGCUGGCGGCGUGCUUAACACAUGCAAGUCGAGCGAAGCACUUAAGUGGAUCUCUUCGGAUUGAAACUUAUUUGACUGAGCGGCGGACGGGUGAGUAACGCGUGGGUAACCUGCCUCAUACAGGGGGAUAACAGUUAGAAAUGGCUGCUAAUACCGCAUAAGCGCACAGGACCGCAUGGUCUGGUGUGAAAAACUCCGGUGGUAUGAGAUGGACCCGCGUCUGAUUAGCUAGUUGGAGGGGUAACGGCCCACCAAGGCGACGAUCAGUAGCCGGCCUGAGAGGGUGAACGGCCACAUUGGGACUGAGACACGGCCCAG